rnacentral:misc_RNA from 1 species
AACCUUAUGGACCUGCGGGCGUAUACCUGCGGAAGGAUCAUUACCGAGUUUACAACUCCCAAACCCCUGUGAACAUACCUAUAUGUUGCCUCGGCGGAUCAGCCCGCGCCCCGUAAAACGGGACGGCCCGCCGCAGGAUCCACAAACUCUGUUUUUAUUGUAACUUCUGAGUAACAAAACAAAUAAAUCAAAACUUUCAGCAACGGAUCU